CAGUCGCCGCGGGAACACGGAGGGUGCAAGCGCUAUCCGGAUUCACUGGGUUUAAAGGGUGCGUAGGCGGAUCUGUAAGUCAGUGGUGAAAUCUCCAGGCUUAACCUGGAAACUGCCGUUGAUACUAUAGGUCUUGAAUUUUGUGGAGGUUAGCGGAAUAUGUCAUGUAGCGGUGAAAUGCAUAGAUAUGACAUAGAACACCAAUUGCGAAGGCAGCUGGCUACACAACUAUUGACGCUGAGGCACGAAAGCGUGGGGAUCAAACAGGAUUAGAUACCCCCGUAGUCCCUGUCUCUUAUAC
rnacentral:rRNA from 1 species